rnacentral:lncRNA from 1 species
CUGUCGUAUGUGUUCCUUUCAUCUUCGUUUUUAGUGCGUUCUUAUGAAAACUGCAGUUCUUGUGCUACUGCCUGAGCUGGCAAAAGGGGCUUGGCAAACAACGGAAGAACUGGCAUGCCUGCACCUAUGGGUCCGGCUUGUGUGCUCUGGUAGAACAACGGAAAUUGAGAGCAAAGUGGACUACAAAUAGGCACUCGUGAAUAGUAAGAAUAAAAGACAGUGGUGACAGGGUCGUGCUCGUGUGGAACAUCCAGGAAUUGUGAAGAAAAACCAGAUGACAACGUUUGGUAAAGGCAGCAGCUUGAUGAACGACUUGAACUGAACCACCUGCAGACCUGGCUUUAUUUUCAUAAGCACUUCAAGGCAAUUAAGCACAACGGAACACGCAUGACGGGAAAAGUAGAAUUCCAAAAAUAUGCGGAAAAUACCAUGGCGCCACAUUUGAAUUGCAUCAUGUGUCCAUCCAGCACUCCGGCGAGUCCAGCAGUGCAUGGAGUGUGACCUUAAUCUUCAGACGAAUUUGGUGAAGAAGGACUUGGAAGUCGGAAGAACACUUGUGUAUGCAGAAAUAUGCUUCACCACAGUGUGUUGCAAAAAACAAUAAUAAACAGAUUCUGUUGGGAACUGUCGAGGUUGUGCAGAGGGUGAGGGGGAGUGAAAUCGCCAAGUCAGAAAAUCCUGAUUUAAGUUUUUACAGGCUAUAAAUUUGAGGGAAGUGGUCGAAGAACUGAAAGUUAAAAGACGCUACUCACAGACACGGAGAAGCUUGUUUACCUGGCUAUAGCGUAAACAAGCAGUGAAUAGGACACAUGCAGGAGCUCAGACGUCUACGGCUGGAUACAGAGAACCAAGGACAGUGUCUGUCAGAGUGUCACGUGAGCGCGACACACAUUGUGUGGUGAAUUGGUUUGAACGAGACGCAGCCAAAUAUUCAAGCAGCAGCUUCUUCGAGCCCCGCAUUCAAAAACUGCCGAUGACUGAAAUCACCUUCCGCUGUGUCAUCGCCGUUUAUGACAGAAGACGGUUCCCAUCUACAUCUGCAGCCCCACUCCACUUUGCUCUGCACUGCCGAGCUGCUGGACUUUGAGGGUCAGUGAAGUAAAUUUUAAAAGGCUGAAACUGAGCGUGAAAUGCAGGUUGCAGUUUUUGCUGUCGUUUCCAGAUAUGAGGUGCUUUUUUGCCGCUGCAACUUAGUUGACAGUCCCCGAGCUCCAGCAAGAAUCUUGUGCGUGUGUCUUUGUCAGCACGUGUACUUGAUUGCAGAAGGGGCACGUCAACAUUUUGAAUGUGACACAACUGUCUGCCCGCGACCAUCGCUUGCCUGUGCAAGUAUCAAGAGCAGUGAGGCGUUGUACAAACUGGACGCUUCCCAUCUCCUAAUGGAAGCAUUGUGACGAUUUUCUACAACAGAGUCCUUGCAGAGCAUUGGUUUUGUUUGCAAUUUUCUUUGUUAAUUUCAUGUUGAUCUUGAAAAUUCUAAGGUAACUUUUGUGUUUCUUUCUCCUCUUUUUUAUUGUGUUCAAAAUAAUCUGCUGUAGCGAUGUUCUUCUGCUCGACAUCAUUCAUCUUUGAUAUGCUUCUGUGUGUAUUGUAAUGAUUUUUUUAACAUAGUUCUUGGGGAGCAAAGUCAGAGUUUGUCUUUUUCGUGCCCACAUCUUGGAAGUAGUAGUUCUACUGCACGCCUUCUCAUGUUAUGUUGUUGUGGACAUCUCGGACACAAAAACAA